rnacentral:tRNA from 1 species
GCCGGGCUGGCUCAGCCGGUGGGGCGUGAGACUCUCGAUCUCGAGGUUGUGAGUUCGAGCCCCACAUUGGGUG